CCCAAUUUUUCGCAAAGUUUCCGCAACUGGAAACGUGCAACUCGAGCAGUUCAGAUUCAAACACGGGCAGUUCAGAUUCAAACACGGGCAGUUCAGAUUCAAACACGGUCAGGAAUAUGUUUAUUCAUAACUAUCGCCUUUAUUUCAGUUGCUAAACCAUUAAAAUUGUACGUCUGUUUUGGAUGUCAUGUCAAAAAUUCAAAUCAGUUGUCAGUAAGAUAAUAGUGAGAUUCAG